AAGGACUUGAUGUUGGAAACAUUGUUGGACCACAUGCUUCCACAGAUUUUACAGGUGCUGUUGGACUUUGAUUCAACAAGAACACCACCAGGAAUUCUCUCAGAUGCUGGCUUUGCAUAUACAGCUUGAAGAUUGUCACCCAAACGGAAUGGAAUGCCCCUCCAGGACACAACUUUAACCCAGGGAGAAGUGGUGAUGCAAGAUAAUACCUCUUUGUAACAAAUUAUUCCACUGGAUCCUUCAUGGGUGACACACAGGUAUUCUCCAUCCCAUGACAAUUCCUGAACUGGAGAGCUGUCCUUCUGAUGAAACAAAGACAUAUGGUAAUAAAAACAAGUUUUCUACUAGUUUUCUAGUAGGGUGGGGGCACUAUGGGCAUAAAUGUUUUACAUGGGUAUAAAUGGGAAAAAUCUUUUAAAAAAAAAAAAAAUUUCCGGGAACAUCAAAUCAUAAAAAGUCAUAUUUAUAUGGAAGCAUUCAUAGGUAAUGUAGAUUCAGGUAUGUUCAAAUACUGACCCCCAUGGGUAUGGUGGGGCCACUAUUGGUGAUCAAAGUUAAAGAUGGCUAUAAAUAGGAAAAAAUCUUUAAAAUUCUUCUUUUCAGGAGCAAAGUCAUGUUUAGUCAUAAUUAUAUGGAAAUGUCCUUAAGUGGAGUCCAAAUCAUGACCCUCUGUGGUACAAUGGGAUCACUAUGGGGCAGAUCAAAAUUUUACAAAAAUAUACAUUGGAAAAAAUCUUUAAAAUUCUUAUUUUCAAGAAUGGCGAUUUCUUGAUUAAUUGUAUUUGUAGUCCGUUGGCAUCAUUCAUUUUGACCAUGACCUUGAUGUUUGACUUACUUUUUAAAAACUUUAACCUUUUCCAUAUCUAUUCAAUGGUUGCUGCUAGGGCUUUUAUAUUUCAAAAGUAUAUUCCCCGAGACAAGACCUUAUUUUAGGUACCAACAUAUUUGAUUUGCAUUUGAGAAAGUUUAACUUUUGCUAUAAGUUGCCAUACGUGGGGCAUCAGUGUUUCACAAAACACAUCUUGUUUUCUUACUACAGCUUAGAUACUUGUUGAGGAAUGGGGAAAUUUUUAUCUUAGUCCUUAAGAUUUUUUGUGAAAAGGGCCACUGUUUAUUUUAUUUUUAACCUCUAGGAUGCAGAGAAUCUCAUGCUGAUAUCUGUAAAUUCAUCAUUAUACGAGUUCAUUCUGACUGUAAAAUUUUACAAAGAAUUGUUAAGAAUUUUGACAGAGAUCCUGAAAAAACUUUGAUUAAGCAUUGAAUUUGUUUUUUGUUUUUUUUUGUUUGUUAAUUGUGUCCCUCUUGAGAAUUUUUUACUCUUAUGGAGACACCACCAUUUGCCAGUGGAGGGCUGCACUCAGGCCAUUGGGCAGUGAGGGAUCUUUUUCAUGCUAACAUCUACUGCAACACAGGACCUCGCUUUACAGGCGAUUGUGUUGUGGGAAUUUUUCUUCCUCACAUGGCCAUGGAAGUUUUUAGAUUAUUUAUUUUAAAGACUGAGGGAAGUUUAACAGUUAUUUAAUCAGCACAAUCAAAGGGUCUAAGUUCUUGUACAUUUUA